CACAUGGAGCGGUGUUGCCGCAUUAGGCGUGUUCACGAGCGAAUCCCGUUUCGAAUUUUUCGCCAGCUAGGUAGGCCUCUUAAGAUCAACAGUCUUUUGAGUUCAGAAUCAAGGGAUUCCCCUAACAAAGACCAACUAACUGGUAUAAAUAACUGGCACUGCUUUCGAUUUAACAUAUGUGAAUUGAAAGAAAUCGAGUCAAGAUGGAUAAACCAACUCGUGAUAAUCGUGCCCGACAACUUAAUCAAAAUAACGAUGCUUAUUGGCAAUCGAGAGGUUAUUCUGAAAAACCAUCUGAUCAGAGUACAAAUUCUGGAAAUUCUAAUACCAAUAGAACUCAAACUGACUCAUCGAAUUCCAAUCAGAAGAAAUGAUUAAACCAUACCAUAGCGUUUUUAAUAAUUUGAAGUAAUCAUCACCAUUAAGUUUUUUAAAAUUUUGUUUGUUUGAAAUCACUUAUCUUAUCUUCUAUUUUGUGUCGAAAUAAAAACUUUUUAAUAAUACAAUAA